UUCCAGACUCCUACGGGAGGCAGCAGUGAGGAAUAUUGGUCAAUGGACGCAAGUCUGAACCAGCCAAGUAGCGUGCAGGAUGACGGCCCUCCGGGUUGUAAACUGCUUUUAGUUGGGAAUAAAAGGGGGCUCGUGAGCCCCGUAUUGUAUGUACCAUCAGAAAAAGGACCGGCUAAUUCCGUGCCAGCAGCCGCGGUAAUACGGAAGGUCCGGGCGUUAUCCGGAUUUAUUGGGUUUAAAGGGAGCGUAGGCCGGCUUUUAAGUCAGCUGUGAAAGUCCGCGGCUCAACCGUGGAAUUGCAGUUGAAACUGGAGGCCUUGAGUACAGUUGAGGUAGGCGGAAUUCGUGGUGUAGCGGUGAAAUGCUUAGAUAUCACGAAGAACUCCGAUUGCGAAGGCAGCAUACGGCAGCGCUACUGACGCUGAAGCUCGAAGGCGCGGGUAUCGAACAGGAUUAGAUACCCUGGUAU
rnacentral:rRNA from 1 species